UGAGGAAUUUUCCGCAAUGGGCGAAAGCCUGACGGAGCGACGCCGUGUGUGCGAUGAAGUCCUUCGGGAUGUAAAGCACUGUCAGUGGGGAAGAUAUUGACGGUACCCACAGAGGAAGGCCCGGCUAACUACGUGCCAGCAGCCGCGGUAAUACGUAGGGGCCAAGCGUUGUCCGGAAUCAUUGGGCGUAAAGGGCGCGUAGGUGGUUCGGUAAGUCGGAUGUUAAAUCUACGGGCUCAACCCGUAGCCGCAUCUGAGACUGCCGGACUAGAGAAUGGUAGAGGAAAGCGGAACUUCCGGUGUAGCGGUGAAAUGCGUAGAUAUCGGAAGGAACACCAGUGGCGAAGGCGGCUUUCUGGGCCAUUUCUGACACUGAGGCGCGAAAGCUAGGGGAGCAAACGGG
rnacentral:rRNA from 1 species